rnacentral:rRNA from 1 species
UACGGGGGGGGGCAAGCGUUGUUCGGAAUUACUGGGCGUAAAGGGCCAGUAGGCGGCCAACUAAGUCGGAUGUGAAAUCCCCAGGCUUAACCUGGGAACUGCAUCCGAUACUGGAUGGCUUGAAUUCGGGAGAGGGAUGCAGAAUUCCAGGUGUAGCGGUGAAAUGCGUAGAUAUCUGGAGGAACACCGGUGGCGAAGGCGACAUCCUGGACCGGUAUUGACGCUGAGGCGCGAAAGCCAGGGGAGCAAACGGG